UCGAUGAUCGCUUUUACCAAACAUGCAACCCUGUCAUUCUGAUCAAGCUUCAAAGUCAGGUGAUUAGUCAGCUGAUGCCUGCGACAAAAUUGGCGGGAAAUUUUUAUUCACUUUGAGCGCUUGGCAAAUUUACACAAAAGAAAAAUAAGAUACUGCAAAAACAGGAUUUUGGAGGCCAAGAAAACUAAACAUAUGUGUUCGUCUUCUGUGGAGUAAAAACUAACAUUCUGCGUGUUUCUGCCAUAUGUAAUAUCAUGUUGAGUUCUGGCAUUCAACGCUGCUGGACGUAUGAAUGGAC